rnacentral:rRNA from 1 species
AGAGUUUGAUCCUGGCUCAAAAUGAACGCUGGCGGCGUGCUUUACACAUGCAAGUCGAGCGAGGCGGCCCGCAAGGGCCAGUCGAGCGGCGAACGGGUGAGUAACGCGUGGAUGACCUGCCCUUUAGUGGGGAACAACCAGGGGAAACUCUGGCUAAUACCGCAUAAGACCGAAAGGUGAAAGCGGGGUCGCAAGAUCUCGCGCUGAAGGAGGGGUCCGCGUCCGAUUAGCUAGUUGGUAGGGUAAUGGCCUACCAAGGCGACGAUCGGUAGCCGGCCUGAGAGGGUGAUCGGCCACACUGGAACUGAGACACGGUCCAGACUCCUACGGGAGGCAGCAGUGGGGAAUUUUGCGCAAUGGGCGGAAGCCUGACGCAGCAACGCCGCGUGGAGGAUGAAGGUCCUUGGAUUGUAAACUCCUGUCAGCGGAGAAAAAGGGAUUCGACCUAAUACGUCGGAGACUUGAUUGUACCCGCAGAGGAAGCCCCGGCUAACUCUGUGCCAGCAGCCGCGGUAAUACAGAGGGGGCAAGCGUUAUUCGGAAUUAUUGGGCGUAAAGGGCGCGUAGGCGUCUUUUCAAGUGACGGGGUGAAAUCCCUCGGCUUAACCGAGGAACUGCCUGUCAGACUGGAAGGCUUGAG